UGACCCACCUCUGGUCCAGCUUACCCCAUUCCUUCAGUGCWGUUGGUUGAAUAAUUCAAUUCAAGAAUCCUAUUGAUCCCAAAGGGAAAUUAAAUGUUGUAAYGCAUCUAAUUAAAGUGUUAUUGUGGAAAAAACAAUGAAUAAACCGUUCAGAUAAUUGAUUCCUUUGAUCAGCCUCUGAGCGCUGGACCCUCCUUGAAAGACAGUUAUCUGUCAGCAAGCUCUCCAAACAUCUGCUCCUUCUCUGCAUCUCAGGACUCAUCCAUUCAACCUUCAACACAAAUCACCUCUGGAUAAGGACCUCCAUCUGCACGCCACUAUCAGGAUCUACAUUCCUCCGUCCAGGACGGCCUUUCGCCUUCAGACCCACAAAGGAGAACCUAGAACACCAAGAGUUCCUUCUUUGGGCACAUUUUCUUCGCACCUAUUACGCUACAUGAAGGAGCACCAGAUGAUAUCACUGACCUCAUUCAUCCUCCCGCUCCACCAGGACCUCCGAGGUCAGCUGACCAGCUGCUUCUCUUUGUUCCAACAGGACUUUUGAAGCAGAAAGAUGACC